rnacentral:rRNA from 1 species
CCAAGGAGUCUAACACGUGCGCGAGUCGUAGGGUUUUCCACAAAGCCCGAAGGCGCAAUGAAAGUGAACCUUUGGCGGGAUCCCGUCACCCUUUUUUUGACAACACGGCAAAUCUAAAGGGUCGGGCGCACCGCCGGCCCGUCUCGUUCGGUCGGCCGAUCUUCACGGAUCUGUCGACGGAGGCGGAGCGAGAGCGUAUACGUUAGGACCCGAAAGACGGUGAACUAUUCCCGGACAGGACGAAGCCGGAGGAAACUCCGGUGGAGGUCCGCAGCGAUUCUGACGUGCAAAUCGAUCGUCGGAUCCGG